UAGGGAAUCUUCGGCAAUGGACGAAAGUCUGACCGAGCAACGCCGCGUGAGUGAAGAAGGUUUUCGGAUCGUAAAACUCUGUUGUUAGAGAAGAACAAGGACGUUAGUAACUGAACGUCCCCUGACGGUAUCUAACCAGAAAGCCACGGCUAACUACGUGCCAGCAGCCGCGGUAAUACGUAGGUGGCAAGCGUUGUUCGGAUUUAUUGGGCGUAAAGCGAGCGCAGGCGGUUUCUUAAGUCUGAUGUGAAAGCCCCCGGCUCAACCGGGGAGGGUCAUUGGAAACUGGGAGACUUGAGUGCAGAAGAGGAGAGUGGAAUUCCAUGUGUAGCGGUGAAAUGCGUAGAUAUAUGGAGGAACACCAGUGGCGAAGGCGGCUCUCUGGUCUGUAACUGACGCUGAGGCUCGAAAGCGUGGGGAGCAAACAGG
rnacentral:rRNA from 2 species